AGUUGGCAGCUGGCAGACUUGAGUGCACAAGAGGAUGGUGGAAUUCAUGGUGUAGCGGUGAAAUGUUUAGAUAUCAUGAAGAACUCCGAUUGCGAAGGCAGCCAUCUGGGGUGCAACUGACACUGAGGCUCGAAAGUGUGGGUAUCGAACAGGAUUAGAUACCCUGGUAGUCCACACAGUAAACUAUGGAUACUCGCUGCCGGCGAUACACUGUCGGUGGCCUAGCGAAAGCGUUAAGUAUCCCACCUGGGGAGUACGCCGGCAACGGUGAAACUCAAAGGAAUUGACGGGGGCCCGCACAAGCGGAGGGACAUGUGGUUUAAUUCGAUGAUACGCGAGGAACCUCACCCAGGCUCGAACGGCAAGUUGAAGGUCGGUGGAGACACCUUCCGUCUUCGGACAAUUUGUCGAGGUGCUGCAUGGUUGUCGUCAGCUCGUGCCGUGAGGUGUCGGCUUAAGUGCCAUAACGAGCGCAACCCUUGCUGUCAGUUGCCAUCGGGUCAUGCCGGGCACUCUGGCGGGACUGCCAUCGCAAGAUGUGAGGAAGGUGGGGAUGACGUCAAAUCAGCACGGCCCUUACGUCUGGGGCUACACACGUGUUACAAUGGAGGGUACAGAGGGAUGCCACCUGGCGACAGGGCGCUGAUCCCGAAAUCCCUUCUCAGUUCGGAUUGGAGUCUGUAACCCGACUCCAUGAAGCUGGAUUCGCUAGUAAUCGCGCAUCAGCCAUGGCGCGGUGAAUACGUUCCCGGGCCUUGUACACAC
rnacentral:rRNA from 1 species